CCUACGGGUUGCAGCAGUGGGGAAUAUUGCACAAUGGGCGCAAGCCUGAUGCAGCCAUGCCGCGUGUAUGAAGAAGGCCUUCGGGUUGUAAAGUACUUUCAGCGGGGAGGAAGGUGUUGUGGUUAAUAACCGCAGCAAUUGACGUUACCCGCAGAAGAAGCACCGGCUAACUCCGUGCCAGCAGCCGCGGUAAUACGGAGGGUGCAAGCGUUAACCGGAAUUACUGGGCGUAAAGCGCACGCAGGCGGUCUGUCAAGUCGGAUGUGAAAUCCCCGGGCUCAACCUCGGAAUUGCAUUUGAAACUGGCAGGCUAGAGUCUUGUAGAGGGGGGUAGAAUUUCAGGUGUAGCGGUGAAAUGCGUAGAGAUCUGGAGGAAUACCGGUGGCGAAGGCGGCCCCCUGGACGAAGACUGACGCUCAGGUGCGAAAGCGUGGGGAGCAAACAGGAUUAGAUACCCGGGUAG
rnacentral:rRNA from 1 species